rnacentral:lncRNA from 1 species
UUUCCUAUGACAACGUUUCUGCAAGUAGGUGUAUAUUUAUUGGUCAGUAACCAUAAUAACCGAUGCACCACCCCCACCUCAUCGAACCACCUUUAAUCCACAUUAUCAGUCCAUACAUUUUGUUUUUGAGCUUUACCAUGAAAAUCUAGAUUACAAUAUCGUAUNGAGAGUCUAUUGACAAACAGGUUUUUGUUCUGGUGGAAUCUCGAUAUUCGCGAUAUUCUUGAACUUGCAAAUCUAUGUAACCCUGCUGUGCGCUAUUUUAGAUGAUUUCCUGCUAUUUAUUUAGGCAUUUUUUUAACUUCCAAGGAACAAGGCAUGUACACUUGUUAUAUUGUUAAAAAAUAUACUAUACCUCAAUUUAAAUCGACUUUUUUUCCGUCAAUGAUGCAAAUAUUUGUUGAAAAAGGUUUCGGAAAGAGCGGCAAAAAUACACAAGCGAACAUUUCUGUGCACUUUAAAAUUUGUAAAAAAAAAAUAGAAAGGUCGCGCGCCAAGCUUCUCUGAUAUACCCUUCUGAUAUAUUCACACACAAAAAAAGUUAUCGAGGAGAACAGUAAACGGCGGAUUGUCUAACGGAGAUUGUAUGACCGAAAGGAAUUGUUGGCUAUACUCUUUGCCAUGCAAAAUUUUCAAAACUGCUGGAUCACCUUGUGUGAAAAAAGAGACAAAUUAGUUGAGCGAAUGUUUACCAGACACAAUAUAUAUAGUAUAUAUCAUGAUGGCUCCUUUCGGUCGGGCAUACUGCCCUUAGAUUAUUGCCAAUCGCCAUAGGAGUUGUGAAGUCAGUGAAUGUUCAUUUUUAUCCUCGCCUGCUCUUCAUCUCCCACUGGGCUCAUACUUUAAUCGUCUCAGUCGGUCGUAUUAGUUAUACUUUAAGUCUCAAUCGGUCGUAUUAGUUAAACUUUGAGUCUCAAUCGGUCGUAUUAGUUAAACUUUAAGUCUCAAUCGGUCGUAUUAGUAAUACAUCUUCCUUUUCGAGCGGACAAGAGCGGCAAAUCAUGUCGGCUUUGACCACUGACAUAAACAUAGUCAUCAGCCAAUGAAACUGCACUUUCAUAUAUCUAAAAAAUUUUGGGAUAAUAUUCACUCGAAAACAUCUAUACAAACCAUUAUCGAACAUCUUUGUUUAAUGGAGACGGCACUUCUGACUGUCUUUGAUUGCUUAAUCAUUGUUAUCAAUACUCGAUACCCUCAAUAACUUUGGGGCGUGCAUAAAUAUAUUUUUUUAAUACCAGAGAAAAAAACGAAUGGCAGAAUUUGAUACAACAUUAUAGCUCAAUUAAUUUCCUGAAAGUUCUGUUNAUGAAUCAAAAAUAUAUUGAUAAUGUCAGCUGUGCUAUUUACAAUCAAACACCGUCAUAGCUUCCAGCAGGUGCGGCAAACUUCUAUGCAUCCAUGGCAUCGGGUCUUUUCAAGAAACAUCGUUCAGGCCUGCCUUAGGGGCUAAUUUAUUCGUAGCAAUGAAACACAGGAAUCGAUCUACUUUAAGUGNAUGUAUAUAUCAAUGCAAAGCGCAUUCGAGGAUGAGUGUCUACAGGCUCCUCAACUAAUAGUAUUAUCACUAAUAUAAUUCCAAAUCGUUGCUUCUUCUUCAGAAGGUCGAAAGUUCCAGAAUUGCUUUUUGCUGAAUACAUUAGACGUAUAGCAGUCUUCUAUGAUUGGGUAAGUCUCGUUAGCUCAUCUAAGUGCACAGAGUAAAACUUCAUAAGUUUUUUUUUAAUUUCGUAUGACCCCACAACGCUGCAAACAUCGCCAGAUUGUGAAGAGGUUGUAACUGCUGUUGGGGAUGAGGGCGGGGUAACAAUUGUUAGAUAUACUCGCUGUACAAGCGCUGGGAACGUAAAAAAAUAAAAGAGAGAAAAGAAAAAAAAGCAAAACCAAGAACGAAACAAAGAGAAAAAACUGGUGUGACAAGUGCGUAUUUUCAGCAGACAGUUAUCAGGCAAAUUUUCUACGUGUACAUUAAUUUGUUACGAACAAAUGAAGUAAAAAUACGGCUGGCCAAAGUAUAUCGCAUUUCGCACGAUCUUUAAGCGAAGAAAAGCAACAAGUAAAACAUUAAAUAAGUGCCAAUAGCGACAACAAUUUAAAUAACGAAGACGAAUGGCUAGUAGUUCACUGCCGGAAAGCAAAAUUCGUCCUCUAUAAAAGCUGCUUUUCUUUGAAUCUUAUCAGAUAAAUUGUAUAUCACUUAGCAUAAAAUCGUUUUGUUGGUUUAGCGUUUUGACAACUGACUGAAAGGAUUAACGAUGAAAGGAAACAUCUUCGUCGCGUAUUUGUUACUGUCGUCAAUAGAUAAAGAUUUCAAGACAACUAGAUCNUAGAGAAAAGUCAGUUUAUUCAUCAACUUCAAAAAAUCUCUGCUGCCCGAGUGUUGGUUGAAUAUUGUGGAGCAAGAAGUGCACCUAGGAC